rnacentral:tRNA from 1 species
UCCCUAGUGGCUCAGACGGUAAAGCAUCUGCCUACGAUGCAGAAGACCUGGGUUCGAUCCCUGAGUCGGGAA